rnacentral:lncRNA from 1 species
CUAUACCCUUCUUGUACCCUACUCCCUCUUCUGAUUUAGUCAGCUGCUUUCCCACCGCUCACUGAAUUCUAGCCUACACUGACCUCCUGCCUAUUUCUCAAACAUGCCAAGCCCACUUCCACUUAGGGUCUUUGCAUUUGCUGAUCCUUCUGUGUAAAAUAUUCUAACCCUGGGUAGCCAAAUGGCUAAUUUCUCACUUCCUUAGUUCUCUGCUCAAAUGUCAGAGAGGCAUUCCCAGACAAACAUAUUUAAAAUAGCAUCCUCCCUCCCCAUGUCUCCCUACCCUGCUUUAUUUUUCUAUGACUCACCAUCUGGCAUAGUAGGUAUUUAUUGGCUUUUUUUUUUUUUUGGCCUUUCCGACUACAAUAUAAGCUCUAUGACAGCAGGCACUGUAUAUCUCGGUGAGCUGUUGUAUCCUCAUUCCUUAGAACAUUGCCUAGCCCAUUUAUGAAUAUUUGUUGAGCCACAUGAAUCAAGGCCUCCUUUUGAGAUCGUGAACGUUUUCAUUUAUUUAUUUAUUUUUUUGAGACGGAUUUUCGCUCUUUCACCCACGCUGGAGUGAAGUAACGCGAUCUCUGCUCACUGCAACCUCCUCCCCGCCUCGGGUUCAAGCGAUUCUUUUGCCUCA